rnacentral:rRNA from 1 species
UACAGAGGUCUCAAGCGUUGUUCGGAAUCACUGGGCGUAAAGGGUGCGUAGGCGGCGUGGAAAGUCAGAUGUGAAAUCCGGGGGCUCAACCUCCGAAUUGCAUCCGAUACUACCAUGCUAGAGAACUGGAGGGGAGUCUGGAAUUCUUGGUGUAGCAGUGAAAUGCAUAGAUAUCAAGAGGAACACUAGUGGCGAAGGCGAGACUCUGGACAGUAGCUGACGCUCAUGCACGAAGGUCAGGGUAGCGAACGGG